rnacentral:rRNA from 1 species
UGNUCUGUCACUGACGCUGAGGCUNGAAAGCGUGGGUAGCGAACAGGAUUAGAUACCCUGGUAGUCCACNCCGUAAACGAUGAGUGCUAGGUGUUAGGCCCUUUCCGGGGCUUAGUGCCGGAGCUAACGCAAUAAGCACUCCGCCUGGGGAGUACGACCGCAAGNUUGAAACUCAAAGGAAUUGACGGGGGCCCGCACAAGCGGUGGAGCAUGUGGUUUAAUUCGAAGCAACGCGAAGAACCUUACCAGGUCUUGACAUCCCGAUGCUAUUCUUAGAGAUAGGAAGUUACUUCGGUACAUCGGAGACAGGUGGUGCAUGGUUGUCGUCAGCUCGUGUCGUGAGAUGUUGGGUUAAGUCCCGCAACGAGCGCAACCCUUAUUGUUAGUUGCCAUCAUUAAGUUGGGCACUCUAGCGAGACUGCCGGUAAUAAACCGGAGGAAGGUGGGGAUGACGUCAAAUCAUCAUGCCCCUUAUGACCUGGGCUACACACGUGCUACAAUGGUCGGUACAACGAGUUGCGAGCCGGUGACGGCAAGCUAAUCUCUGAAAGCCGAUCUCAGUUCGGAUUGGAGGCUGCAGCUCGCCUCCAUGAAGUCGGAAUCGCUAGUAAUCGCGGAUCAGCACGCCGCGGUGAAUACGUUCCCGGGCCUUGUACACACCGCCCGUCACACCACGAGAGUUUGUAACACCNGAAGUCGGUGAGGUA